rnacentral:tRNA from 54 species
UUAACUCAGCGGUAGAGUAACGCCAUGGUAAGGCGUAAGUCAUCGGUUCAAAUCCGAUA